AAGUCAUAUAAAUUUGCUGUUAGCAGCCAGUUUUGUUAAAUUUUGUAAAAAUGAGCUAAAAAAAAUCCUGAUGUUUGAUUGUCUUCCAAUUCAAUCUUAUUUUGUCCUGCAACAUUCAGUUCACCCAUAGUAGCUUAGGGUUGCUCAGCUUAGUCAGAUAUUAAAAAAAAGAAGGAUAUGUUAAAGUACAAAAACAAAGAAAAUUGGAGCCACCACAAAGAACACUUGCUGACAGAUUUUGCACACAAAAAUCUUUCUUUCACAGGUAAAACUCAAAUGUGUAUGCUUCCUCUUUUGACUAGCUUGAGUGCAGUUAUUUGAAAGUAUAAAUCUUAUGUUGAAAUUUGACAGCAGUAACAUUCAUUUGCCAAAAUUUAUUUCAUUUUUUAUUUCAAAAAUAAGGAAUAAAAAGAUGUGGUAUGAGUUACAAUAAGACAACUCUCAAUCUAAGUCACAAUGUAUAAAAUGUUAAACAAUUAUAGGCCAAAGAACAGCCUUCAACACGUAGCCUUGGCACACAACAAACAACAAGCUAUAAAAGAUCCCAAAAUGACUAGUGUAAAACAAUUAUAACAGGAAAACCAACAGUCUAAUCUAUUUAAAAAAAAAAACACCAACAAACAGCAACCACUCAACAACAGGUUUCUGAAUUAGAACAGGUUCAUGAAAUGCAAAUACAAAUAUUGAGAUAUUAUCAAAAAAGGUUUAAAAGUAACUUCAAAGAAUAAAAAAUAAGGAUGGUUGAUCCAUUUUACGUUUUUGUUUGUGUAAUGUUGUAUAAAUGUUAAUAUUUUAUUUCAGUGUUCUUCCACAGAUGAUAAUGUAUAAUUUUGAUUUUUGCAGAUUGCAGCAGGGGGAUGUUACAGUCAUAGACGUUGGAUAGACUCCGUUGUACUAGGCCAGGGAGGGUAGCGCAAAGUUUCCGCAGCACUAUACAAUAGUAACAAGAUCACUCUACCAUGAGCUUGUUAAAGGGCCCGUUUGAUGAAAGUGACACCAACAUUCUCCAACACUACAGAUUUAUUUUUUCAGAUGCAGCCAGGAGGAUGUUUCAGUCAUGGACCCGUUUGAUAGAAGUGACGCCAACGUUCUCCAACACUACUAAUUUUUAAAUUUGUAUUUAUUGCAGAUGCAGCUGAGGGUAUUUCAAUCAUAGACUUUAAAUAUGACUCAAUUGUAGCAGACCAGGAGGAGUGGCAAAUAGAUUUCUGGGAGUCUAUAUUUUUUAAGGAAGAGACAAAAUUUUCUCCAACAAACCACUAAUCUUUAUUAUUUAUAUCCAUUUCAGAGUUCUCACAAAGAUGUAUAGGUAUACAGUAUUUAUUAAUUCUGACUCUUUUUGCAUUUUUGUUUGUCUUUAAAAAAUGUCAUGUGGUAUUAAUGUCAAUGGGAUAAAACACACUGAAGAAAUCAACUACAUUGGAACAGAAAUCUUUUGAUUGAGAAAUCAUUGGUACUUGGUGUAAUUUGAAACUAAACUCCUUGGAACUUUCUCACAAAAUUUUACACAUGAAACAUCUUUUUUUCCAUCUUUUUUUUCCAUGAAGCAGCACACAAAAUUUUAUCAAGUAGAUGGUAUCCAUAUCCUAGAACAUCUGUGAAUGGCUUAUUUCUAAUAGUACUUCCACAAGUAUCCUCAAAAUUCAAACAGUCAAGUAUAAUGAUCAACAGAGACAUAAAAAUGAAGGAAACUAAGUAUUUAACUAAUUAAACAACGGGUUAAAAAGGACAACACAUAACCAAAAGAAAUAGUGUACAAAAAACUACACUGAAAACAAAAUUGUACAUCACCAACCAAAGACCAAGAACGGUCUUAAGACACUAAGCACCAACUCAACCAAAGACUAGGGAUGAUCUCAGCCAACGAGACCAACCCAACCAAAAACCAUGGAUGAUCUCAGCCAAUGAGCACCAACCCAACCAAAAAAACAGGGAUGAUCUCAGCCAAUGAGCAUGAAACCAAUGACAGGGUGUUCACCAGCCCCUCAGAAUAUGUUUCUUGUACUACAAAACUUCACAGAAAGAUUCCACACAAGUUAAAGCUGUGUACCUACUAGUAUCCAUAUUGCUAGAGGAAAUUACCCCCAUUUUCCCAAAAAAUUUUAAAUAAUAUUUUUUAUCAAAAUUUUCAAAGACAGUACAAUUUUACCAAUUUUGUGUAAAUAAUCUAGAUCUUUGAAAAUUCACACAACAUUACUUGUUACUGUGGAAUGGUAUGCUAAUUUUUUCCCACUUUUCAGUACUUGGGAACUUGAUAAUUUUUUCAUCUAAAAAUUUCAAUAGAACGUAACAAUUUUUGUUUUUAACCCUUAUCUUUGGAACUUCAGAGAGAGUUUGUCAAUCUAUUGAGGUUGAUCAUCAUUUCCCAUUUUUAUAUUUCCAUAUAUUAAAAUUCUAGAAUUGACCAUUCUACAUUGUUUAGGAAAAAUUUGCAAAACUCAGCUAUUUGAGACUUUGAUAUUUUUUUUGGAAUAUACACGACUACUUUGUGCAUGAUAAGUAAACUAUACAAGAAGAGAUAUUUUAUUAAACUAUGCUUCAAAAUAUAAAAAAAAACGUUGGUGAUUUAUGUGUUUUCGACAAUUACUUUACUGUUCUUCUUCAUUACAUUUGUAUAAGUAUUUAUAUAUCAGAUGUCUGCUAACUCUAUAUUAGAGCUUUGUAAAAAAAAAUAUGUAAACAAAGUUCUAAAUAAUAAUUUUAAUGGGAAAGCGAAAAUCGUGGGGUACCAUAAAUAUUUGGUAAAUUUUCAAAAUGCAAGUUACUUGUUUAAAAGCACAUCUGGUAUUUUAUAUCCUUUUAUGAAUGAAUUUAAUAAUUUAUUUGUAUUAUACUAGUAUAUGAGAAAAGCUUUGAACGAAAAAAGAAAAUGAGAGAUGCUUUAGAACAUUUUAGUGACAAUUGUAUAUUUUAUUAAAUCGAACACAAAGGACAUUUCAAUUAGUGGAUAAAAUGGAUUCAGUCAGCUGAUCAGAACCAAAACCUAUGUUGAAAAGCAGAUAAAAGCAGCCAAGUUAGCAGCUCCCAGGAAGAUGGUUAAAUAAAUCUUCAACCAAGUCUGAGGCUUUACCAAGAAAAUAAUAAGGUUGUUUCUUUGAAAUGUUUUCAUGGUGUGGGAAUAAGACUUGGUGGUCUGAUACAGCUUAUAUGUAGGUUAGCAUCAUGCUUAUCCGUAAGGAUUGAGGCUGAGAAUGGCCAUUGGAGCUGACUUUUAUGGUAACGUUAACUGUGGCUGCAUAAGUUAUUGUGCGAUAAAACUGAAGCAGAAAAGAAUGUACUGGUAGUUCAGACAAUUUUGUAUAUGUUUGAAAAAAUGUUUUAAUUUUUACAAAAAAAAAAAAAUUAUGUAAAGAUUCUCCAUUUACAGCAUGUUUUAAGUUUUAAGCUAACUUUAUUGUUCAGAUACCAUUCAUUAUCUCCCCAUAAUUAAAUUUAAUUGAUAAUUAAUACUUUGAAAAAGAAUGGGAAAAGAACAAUUUUACAUUUUUACUUGUCGACCUACUUUAGAUAUCUGUAUAAUGGUCUAUGUAUAGUCAAAAUAUUUCCAGUAGGUUUAGAAUGGAGAAUCUAAAAAAAAAAAUGAAAAAAAAAUAAAUGUUUUAUUGAAAUGUAUUUUUGGGGUUUUCUGAAUGGUUAGAUAUAAAUUAUUGUCCAACUUCAAUUGUUUUUCGAAAAAAGAUUAUUACACAAGAAGCAUAGUAAAAAAAUAUCUUGAUGAAAAAGGUUGAUUGAUUUUUUUACGCUAAAAACCAUAUGUUGGUGGCAAUUUUUUAUAGGCUGAGAAGGUCUGAGUAAUAGGAGAGAAUCACCAAGGCACCUAAGAAAAAUGCAUAAAAUUAGUGUUCAAUAAAAACUGAUAUAUUAAAGAAUGUAAAUCAGACAAUUUAUUGUGUAUUUUUGAAGAAGAAAAAGUGUAAAGAUUCUCUAUUUUCAACCAGAUUGGAAGUUGUAGGCUACCUUGAUAGUUCCAAUCCUGUUAAUGAUUAAUCUGCCCUGUUAAUUAGAUUUAAUUGAUAUUUUAUUAUGGAAAGGAAAUAAACAAAUUUUACAAUUUUAUUUGAAGACCUGCUUAAGAACUCUUUAUAAUGGUUCAUGUGUAGUCAAAACAUUUUCAGUAGGUUAAGAAUGGAGAAUCUAAAAAAAAAAAAAAAAAGAAAGA